CGCGCCCGGGGCGGCGAGGCGAGGCGAGGCGCGGCGCGGCUAUGGCGCUCUUCUGCAUCAACAGGUACGGCGAGGAGGAGGAAGGGGCCGAGGCGGAGGACCGGGCUCGGGUGCUGCUGGAGCGGCUGCGGCAGCAGGCAAAGGCUCGGCAGCUGAAGAAGCAGCGGGAGGCGCGGCCCGGGGGAGGGGAAGGCGAGCGGCCCGAGGGAGCCGGCGCGGGGCUGAGCCCCGGGGCUGAACCCGGGGAAGGAAGGGGAAAGAGACAGAGGGAGAGCGGAGAGCAGGGCUGUGCGCAAGGACAGAAGAGGCUAAGGGAGAAACAGCAGCCUCGCAGUGCUUCCGAAGAAAGGGCAGACACUGAGGAGGCAGCAGAUGGCAGCACUCCAUCGAAGAAGAAGAAAGAAAAUAGAAGAAAAUCAAAAGUGCAGCAAGAGAGGACUGAAGCAGAUUCUGAAGAAUACAUCAAACAACAGGAAAACAGAAACGACCUGAAAGAUAAGUCUUCUAAAAGGAAAAAGGAGGAUGAGGAAACAGAGGGACCUAACAGUGAAAGAGCUGAAGGAAAUCAAAGCCUAAAGGGGGAGGUCUCCUUAACAACCUUGGAGGAAGCGACAAAUCCUCCACCCUCCAGUUUGGUGGUUCUUGGAGACUAUGACAGAAAGCCAGUGCAGAAGGUUCAGCCUUUCUUACCACAGUGGCUUGCUCAACCCAAACUAGUUCAAAAACGUAUCAAAGAUAAUCUAGUUCCAAUCGGAGAUGUCCCAGGAAUUCACCCCCGGCUGUUGAAAAAGCUGCAAAUGAAUGGGAUAGAGUCCUUUUUUCCAGUUCAGGCACAGGUGAUUCCUGCUAUUCUACAGAGUGCAUCCAAUGGGUAUUUGAUGGCACAGGGAGGAUACCGCCCCAAAGACAUCUGUGUCUCUGCACCUACUGGCAGUGGUAAAACCCUGGCUUUUGUCAUACCCAUAGUACAGGUUCUGCUAGAUCGAGUAGUUUGCCAUGUACGAGCUCUGGUCGUUCUGCCCACCAAAGAACUGGCGCAACAGGUGAGUAAAGUGUUCAACAUUUACACUGAUGGCACAGGCCUGAAGGUCGUUUUGAUUACUGGCCAGAAAUCUUUCGCAAAGGAACAGGAGAUGCUUGUGAAGAAAAAAGUGACAGGCUACUGCAGUCUGGCUGAUAUUAUUGUGGCUACACCAGGGCGGCUCACAGACCACAUUAGCCAGACCCCGGGGUUCAGCCUGACACAGCUUCGCUUCCUGAUCGUAGAUGAAGCUGACCGUAUGAUCGAUGACAUGCACCAGAACUGUCUGAACCAAAUUGUCAAAGCUGUGUUCCAAGUAGAAAAUUACUCUGGCUCCAGCAUGCUUUUUCAGAGGACCAAACCAGGGCCUAUAACAGCAGCCAGCUCCUGCUAUCCUCAGAUACCCUUACAGAAGCUGUUGUUUUCAGCCACGCUGACCCAGGACCCAGAGAAACUGCAGCAGCUGGACUUAUUCCAGCCUCGGCUCUUCACAUCUGUCUAUUCUGAGAAAAAAGUGCUUGGAGAUGGAACAGAGACUGAACAGGGUACUAAUAAGAAAUACACACUCCCCGAGGGGCUAUCGCAAUGUUAUGUGCCUUGUGACCUGAAUUCCAAGCCUUUGCUCCUCUUGCAUUUCAUGCUGACAAUGAAAUUUACCCGCGUGUUGUGCUUUACCAACUCCAGGGAAGCUUCUCACAGAUUGUUCCUGUUGGUUCGAGCCUUUGGUGGAGUCACUGUGGCUGAAUUUUCUUCUCGGUUACCUCCAAAUGAGAGACAGAGAACCAUGAAGGAAUUUGAACAAGGGAAAAUACAACUGUUAAUCAGCACAGAUGCCACUGCACGAGGGAUUGACGUUAAAGGAGUGAAUUACGUAAUAAACUAUGAUGCUCCGCAGUUCAUCAGGACAUAUAUUCACCGAGUUGGAAGAACAGCUCGUGCAGGAGAAGUGGGUGUUGCUUUCAGCUUGGUCCUUAGAAUUCAGGAACGUAGGUUUCUGCGGAUGUUGAGGGAUGCUGGCAUCCAGGACAUAAAGAAGCAACCAGUGAAGGGCAACUCAUUAAAGCCAUUGGUGCAGCAAUAUGAGGAAGCUCUUUGUAAGCUUGAGAAGACAGUCAAGAACGAACGAGCACAAAAACGAGCCUGAAUGAACGGAAGCCGAGAGGGUCGUGUCUUAUGGUGCUGGAGCUGCUGAGCGGGAUAGGUCAUGGACUACUACCCAGCAGAGCAACUGUCUGGUGUCAGAGCCGCAGGAAUGGAAACCCCUCACGCGAGAGCUGUGAGCCCCCAGCAAAACAAGGCUCUGCCUCUGGCGCACCUGCACCCCCUCCGCCCAGCUUCGGUUUUUCCUUGCCAGGAAGCGAUUAAGGGCAGUUACUAAGCCCAAGCUCAAGCGGGCGGUGGCAGAGCCGGGUCGGAGCUGCGCCCUGCAGAGCU